rnacentral:piRNA from 1 species
UACCUUCACCAUGUUUUUUGUUUGCUUGC